UUCUUGGAGUCCUCCGACGCCCGGAGAUCGCUGGGCACUGUGGCGCAGGAGGCCGUCAGAGCGGGAAGGAGAGAGUCGCAGCGGGGGCGGAGGCGGAGGAGGCCGUCGCAGCGGAGGCGGCCGUCGGAGCAAGGGCGGAGGCGGCCGUCGCAGUCGGAGCGGGGCGGAGGCGGCCGUCGCAGCGGGGGUGGAGGCGGAGGACCGAGUGGCGGCUUGCUCUCCUCCCUCUCCCGCGCGGCGCAGCGGCGGCGGCGGCGGCGACGACGGGAGAGCGCGCGCGGGAGGCGACGUUUGGCGUGAGAAGCCGAGAACUCCCGCGAUGGAGUUUUUUCGACUGUGCAUUCGUUGACUCGGUAAAACAUGAGGUGCUCUGUUUCAAUUUCUGCCGGCCGGCCGAUUUAAAUGGGCGGUGGAUGCUGGCCGCGAGGCAACCCGUGCCUAGACAGAGCCAAGGUGCUGGAUCUCAGUCCGUCCGGUAGUCCCUGCCCUUGCUUUAUUCCAGCUCCUCAAUCUUCAACCAUUUUCUGUGCCGCAUCAUGGCCUCCCACGAACUGCCGCCACCGCCGAUGAAGAAAUCCCCAGCACUCGCCCCCACCACCAUUAGCGACCUCAGCGGCGACAUCCUAUGUGAGAUAUUCCUCCGCCUCCCCUCGCUCCCUAGCCUCAUCCGGGCCGCGCUCACUUGCAGCUCCUUCCUCGAUGCCGUCCGUUCGUCCCCCUCCUUCCGCCGUUGCUUCCGCGCGCUCCAUCCGCCUCCCCUGCUCGGUCUCUUCAUCGAUAUGUACGAAAGCGCCAUACCUGCCUUCUCGCCCCUCCGCCGCCGCUCCGAUGCAGACCUCGCCGCCGCCAUCCGUGGCGCCGAUUUCUUCCUCACCGGCCUACCGGACGAUGACAAGGACGCCGUACCCAAUUGGUCAAUUAUCGAUUGCCGUGAUGGAUGCGUCCUUCUCGUCAACUGGAGCACGGAACAGAUGGCCGCCUACAAUCCCCUCACACGGGCUCUGGAUCUCUUCCCCACGCCGCCCGCCCAGCUCUGCGAUGGUGACCUGUAUCUUGAGUUCCACAUCCUCUCCUACCAAGAGGACCGUGGGUCGUUCCGCAUUCUGUGCGUCUGUGAAGAGCAGUGGGGGGCGUGCGUCGUUGUCUUCUCAUCGGACGCCAGGGAGUGGCAGAUUUUCCCGUGGUAUGACGAUGACAUGGGCUGGCAUCACACUGGUAGGUGAAUGGUUUCGUCUAUUGGACAGAUGAAAGCCGAGACCAUGCACGUGUGCUGGACAUUGCAACACUGGAAUUCUCUCAAAUCGAUCUGCCGCAGCUGGUUUUUGAAGGGCAAGACGCGUUUAGGGUUGGUGAGGCCAAGAACGGAAAUCUCUGUAUGACCUCUUUGGUUCAAUUGAAUUUGUUUGUUUGGCUCUGGAGAGCUAAUGACCAAGGUGUUGAGACAUGGAUGCUGGACAAUGCAUUUGAAUUGAAGAAGAUUGCUGAGGCGGCCAAGUGUUCACUAGAGGAUAACAGUGCACUGAAGGUUGUGGCCAUUGUCGAUGGCUGUGUUUACUUGUCUACUUACCACGAGACACGCUAUGAUUCUCCUUGCUGUUACUAUCCUUCUGCUUGGAAACUUCGGAGCUGAAUAAGCUCUGUCCUACGCGCUUUCACCCGGUGUUUCAUAUCCCUACAUCAUGGCUUGGCCUCCUUCACUGGUACGCACCAAGGUGAACCCUCGACUUAACGGUGCUUGAAUAUGAGGGAAGAAGAAAAGUAUGACCAAGAAGUUAUAUACUCUAUGCCAUGAUUCUGUAGAUGUAAUCCUGGUUAGAUGUACUCAUCUUUAGAAUAAAUCAAGAUGCCAAGGUGUUGUGGGAAUUGCAAGUCAUUUUUGUGUGUCAUAUUGAGCAUAUUAAUAUUCAUUCUUCCAUUCCCUGCA